rnacentral:rRNA from 1 species
UGGGGAAUAUUGGACAAUGGGCGCAAGCCUGAUCCAGCCAUGCCGCGUGAGUGAAGAAGGCCUUAGGGUUGUAAAGCUCUUUUGGCGGGGACGAUAAUGACGGUACCCGCAGAAUAAGCCCCGGCUAACUUCGUGCCAGCAGCCGCGGUAAUACGAAGGGGGCUAGCGUUGUUCGGAAUCACUGGGCGUAAAGCGCACGCAGGCGGAUUGAUAAGUCAGGGGUGAAAUCCCGGGGCUCAACCUCGGAAUUGCCUUUGAUACUGUCUGUCUUGAGUUCGGGAGAGGUUGGCGGAAUUCCUAGUGUAGAGGUGAAAUUCGUAGAUAUUAGGAAGAACACCAGUGGCGAAGGCGGCCAACUGGCCCGAUACUGACGCUCAUGUGCGAAAGCGUGGGGAGCAAACA